rnacentral:rRNA from 1 species
UACGGAGGGUGCAAGCGUUGUCCGGAUUUAUUGGGUUUAAAGGGUGCGUAGGCGGCCCGUUAAGUCAGUGGUGAAAGCCCACAGCUCAACUGUGGAACUGCCAUUGAUACUGUCGGGCUUGAGUACAGACGAGGUAGGCGGAAUUGAUGGUGUAGCGGUGAAAUGCAUAGAUACCAUCAAGAACACCGAUUGCGAAGGCAGCUUACUAGGCUGUAACUGACGCUGAGGAGCGAAAGCGUGGGGAGCAAACAGG